rnacentral:rRNA from 1 species
UACGGAGGGUGCGAGCGUUGUCCGGAAUCAUUGGGCGUAAAGGGCGCGUAGGUGGCCCGGUCAGUCUUUGGUGAAAGCGCGGGGCUCAACCCUGCGUCGGCCAGGGAUACUGCCGCGGCUCGAGCACUGUAGAGGCAGGCGGAAUUCCGGGUGUAGCGGUGGAAUGCGUAGAGAUCCGGAAGAACACCGGUGGCGAAGGCGGUGAGCUGGGCAGUUGCUGACACUGAGGCGCGACAGCGUGGGGAGCAAACAGG